rnacentral:rRNA from 1 species
GACAGAGGAUGCAAGCGUUAUCCGGAAUGAUUGGGCGUAAAGCGUCUGUAGGUGGCUUUUCAAGUCCGCCGUCAAAUCCCAGGGCUCAACCCUGGACAGGCGGUGGAAACUACCAAGCUGGAGUACGGUAGGGGCAGAGGGAAUUUCCGGUGGAGCGGUGAAAUGCGUAGAGAUCGGCAGGAACACCCAGGGGGAAACCAGUCGACUGGGCAGCACCUGACGCUGAGGUGCGAGAGCGUGGGGAGCGAACCGG